rnacentral:rRNA from 1 species
UACGAAGGGGGGCUAGCGUUGCUCGGAAUCACUGGGCGUAAAGGGUGCGUAGGCGGGUCUUUAAGUCAGGGGUGAAAUCCUGGAGCUCAACUCCAGAACUGCCUUUGAUACUGAGGAUCUUGAGUUCGGGAGAGGUGAGUGGAACUGCGAGUGUAGAGGUGAAAUUCGUAGAUAUUCGCAAGAACACCAGUGGCGAAGGCGGCUCACUGGCCCGAUACUGA